GAAGCAAAACUGAAGCUGAAGCAUAACUUUUGGGUUGUGUUUUUUGCCUUUAACAACCACAAGCUGAAGGGAGCCGAGCCACUUCCACCAGGCAAGUGAUUUAUCUUGUUAUAGGAAAGUUCAUUUUUUAACUAAAGAACAAGUCUGUACACACAGAAAUCCAUCAGCAAUGUUUUUCACAGGGUAACACGGUGGAUUUCACUUUUUCCACGUUUCCCUGGGCAGAUGUGAACACCUGGGUGGAGGUUUUAAGCUGUUUUCAGACCUGCUUUGUUUUCCUCUGCUCCUUUUCGUGAAGUCCUUGGAGAAAUGGUCUCCUGUCCCUGACAGCCACCCAGGCUGUGGGCCCCGAGCCAUGGAGAUGAGCCACUUGGCUUAACUCACACAGCAUUUGUGGUGCUUGUGACCUAUUAACUGACUCCAUAAAAAAGAAAGAAUGGGUAAAUUAGCAUAAAUAUUGCACUUGUGAUUUGAUUAAAUUGUGCUCGCAGCUGCCUUUGUAAUAAGGGGUGGCAUUAAGUUAAGUUUGCUGUGCAAAAAUCCUGGCUCCAAGGAAAUUCUGGGAAGAGCAGGUGCCUCACCUGGGUUUCCUGAAGGUGGAAUGACCACAAGGGUGCCCAACCUUUUCACAACCUUAUUUCGCAACCCAUUAUUAUCUGUUUUCUUGUUUCCUUCAUCUGAGCUGCAUCAUUGUCCAAACCGAUGGAGAAAGCUAUAGCUGCUCCUAAUUCUGCAACACAAGAGGUUGUCACAGAGAGGCAUCCUUCAGCCCCAGAGGUCCUCAGACUUCACGGACAAGAGGGAAUGUGUUUGAAAGAAGUCCAAAAUGAAGGAAAUCUGUACCUUGCUGGUGGAUGGUGCAUGCUUUCUGCCUCUGGCUGCUGGUGAAUUAAUGCUGCUUCAGGUCCCUGCAUUCCCUGCUGAGGACUCAUUGGGAUGUUGAAAAGCAGCAUAGCUGACCCCGCAGAGUUGAUGCUGCUGGGAGCAGGGGUUUGAAGGUCUGCAAGAACAGCCACCACUCUGGUGGCUUCCAGAAGUGAAGCUGAGACUUGGCUCCCAGCAGAGAACUAUUU
rnacentral:lncRNA from 1 species